UACGUAGGUGGCAAGCGUUGUCCGGAUUUACUGGGCGUAAAGAGCGCGCAGGCGGUCGUUCAAGUCGCGUGUGAAAGCCCCCGGCUCAACUGGGGAGGGUCACGCGAUACUGAUCGACUCGAAGGCAGGAGAGGGUAGUGGAAUUCCCGGUGUAGUGGUGAAAUGCGUAGAGAUCCGGAGGAACCCCAGAGGCGAAGGCGGCGUCCUGGCUCGCAUCUGACGCUCAGACACGACAGCAUGGGGAGCGGACGGG
rnacentral:rRNA from 1 species